rnacentral:rRNA from 1 species
UACGGAGGGGGCGAGCGUUAUUCGGAAUUAUUGGGCGUAAAGGGCGCGUAGGCAGCUGAACAAGUCAAAGGUGAAAUCCCUCGGCUCAACUGAGGAACUGCCUUUGAAACUGUUCGGCUUGAGGCCGGGAGGGGGUAGCGGAAUUCCCAGUGUAGCGGUGAAAUGCGUAGAUAUUGGGAGGAACACCAGUGGCGAAGGCGGCUACCUGGACCGGUUCUGACGCUGAGGCGCGAAAGCGUGGGUAGCAAACAGG